ensembl:lncRNA
CAUACCUGCAGAGAAUUGUUAAAGAUUGUCCAGAGCUCUCUCCUCUCCUGGACAUGAAGCCUUUCCUGUCAGUGAUGCAUGCAAAGGCCCACUCUUGGAAAUGUGAGAUUAAAUGGGGUGGUCGAAACCAAGAAGGAGCAGGCACCACCCUGGGGGAAGAGGUCGAACAAGUUAACAGCUUUUUGUCGAGAACUGCUAUAUGCAGUAAAUACAUGACCAAAGGAGCCAGAACAGACAUGAUUACAAUCCAGGCCAUGGCAUGGAAUCAGCGCAAAAUACGGAAACUUGCAAAAAGCGCUGUCCCUAAGAUUUAAAAAGGUAUAUUUCUAAAUUACUUUUCUCUUUUAUAGGUGAAAGCUUUCGUUUCUUUUAAUGUUUAAUUUGGCUGUAGUGUUUGUUGUGCAAACAAGUAGGCAAGCUGUGUAGAACAACCACUAGAAAGUCAAAAGCAUGAAUUUCAAAACAAAGUUUACUUAUGAAAAUGUUAUACACUUUUCCAUUUGAAAAAGGCUCAUUAGUCCUUUAUGAAUGUUAUUUAUUUAUUUAUUUUCUGUUUUAAUAAAUGCACUUUAUGGGAUUGUUAUUCAUUAGACAAAAAGCAAAAAAAUUCAGGAGGAGUCCUUAAAUCUUGAUGCAAUAAAGACAGACUUGGCAGUAACACAUGACACGCUUAUAGAUUGGACCAAUGAAAUCCAGCAAUGGGCUGAUACAGGUAGGCAUGUUUUAGGUAACCAUAGCACUAUACUUAUUGUUUUAAACCUUUAAGUAACAACUUGCCUCACUGACUGUAGUGCUGUGUAUGAUUUUCUGUUUAUACCUAAAUAUAAGCUUCAUCCUUAUACCUCUGAUGUAAUAAUAAUGCACAUAUUUAUUUCUAUUGUAAAUGCAUUUCUUAUCAAUAAUUUAGCAACAAGUGAGGAGAACACAGACAGUCAGCAGGUGCUCCAGAAGACUAUUGAGACGCUUUAUGUGAGCAUCAGGCAGAGAAAGCAAGAUCUUUACCGUCAAUCAGAUGGGAACAAGAGAAGACACAAACUCCGAAGAAAGAUUUUGGAAGAAAAAGCCAAAUUUUGUGCAGCUGUAGAUGACUACAACAGGGCAGCAACUGAAAAACUGCAGUCAGCUGAUACAAUACUGGCAUCUGAGAGCUAUGCAUGGCCAUGGGUCCUUGAUGAACGUGAUAAUCUUGCAACCAAAAAAGGCCUUUGACCAACUGAUGCUGCUGAACCGGCUUACUGAAGAGGAGUGCAUUGUUCUGAAAGAAAUCCGGAAUCACUGGAAAAAGCCUUACAAGGGAGCAUUCUCUUCUAAAUGAUCUUUUAAGUCAUGUUGCUGUUGAGAUAAA